rnacentral:rRNA from 3 species
AAUCCAUAGGUUAAUGAGGCGAACCGGGGGAACUGAAACAUCUAAGUACCCCGAGGAAAAGAAAUCAACCGAGAUUCCCCCAGUAGCGGCGAGCGAACGGGGAGGAGCCCAGAGCCUGAAUCAGCAUGUGUGUUAGUGGAAGCGUCUGGAAAGGCGCGCGAUACAGGGUGACAGCCCCGUACACAAAAGCGCAUGUGUUGUGAGCUCGAUGAGUAGGGCGGGACACGUGGUAUCCUGUCUGAAUAUGGGGGGACCAUCCUCCAAGGCUAAAUACUCCUGACUGACCGAUAGUGAACCAGUACCGUGAGGGAAAGGCGAAAAGAACCCCGGCGAGGGGAGUGAAAAAGAACCUGAAACCGUGU